rnacentral:rRNA from 1 species
UGGGGAAUUUUGGACAAUGGGCGAAAGCCUGAUCCAGCAAUGCCGCGUGUGUGAAGAAGGCCUUCGGGUUGUAAAGCACUUUUGUCCGGAAAGAAAUCCUUGGCUCUAAUACAGUCGGGGGAUGACGGUACCGGAAGAAUAAGCACCGGCUAACUACGUGCCAGCAGCCGCGGUAAUACGUAGGGUGCAAGCGUUAAUCGGAAUUACUGGGCGUAAAGCGUGCGCAGGCGGUUUGCUAAGACCGAUGUGAAAUCCCCGGGCUCAACCUGGGAACUGCAUUUGGGNGACUGGCAGGCUAGAGUAUGGCAGAGGGGGGUUAGAAUUCCACGUGUAGCAGUGAAAUGCGUAGAGAUGUGGAGGAAUACCGAUGGCGAAGGCAGCCCCCUGGGCCAAUACUGACGCUCAUGCACGAAAGCGUGGGGGAGCAAACAGGAUUAGAUACCCUGGUAGUCCACGCCCUAAACGAUGUCAACUAGUUGUUGGGGAUUCAUUUCCUUAGUAACGUAGCUAACGCGUGAAGUUGACCGCCUGGGGGAGUACGGUCGCAAGAUUAAAA